rnacentral:rRNA from 1 species
UGGAGAGUUUGAUCCUGGCUCAGAUUGAACGCUGGCGGCAGGCCUAACACAUGCAAGUCGAACGGUAGCACAGAGAGCUUGCUCUCGGGUGACGAGUGGCGGACGGGUGAGUAAUGUCUGGGAAACUGCCUGAUGGAGGGGGAUAACUACUGGAAACGGUAGCUAAUACCGCAUAACGUCGCAAGACCAAAGAGGGGGACCUUCGGGCCUCUUGCCAUCAGAUGUGCCCAGAUGGGAUUAGCUAGUAGGUGGGGUAAYGGCUCACCUAGGCGACGAUCCCUAGCUGGUCUGAGAGGAUGACCAGCCACACUGGAACUGAGACACGGUCCAGACUCCUACGGGAGGCAGCAGUGGGGAAUAUUGCACAAUGGGCGCAAGCCUGAUGCAGCCAUGCCGCGUGUAUGAAGAAGGCCUUCGGGUUGUAAAGUACUUUCAGCGGGGAGGAAGGUGUUGCGGUUAAUAACCGCAGCAAUUGACGUUACCCGCAGAAGAAGCACCGGCUAACUCCGUGCCAGCAGCCGCGGUA